GCCCUUGUGGCCAAAUGGACAAGGCGUCGCCCUCCGAAGGCGAAGAUUGCGAGUUCGAGUCUCGCCAAGGGUU
rfam:Ectocarpus siliculosus strain Ec 32, whole genome shotgun sequence assembly, chromosome LG04